rnacentral:rRNA from 1 species
CGUGUAGGCGGCUUUGCAAGUCGGGUGUGAAAUCCCUCAGCUUAACUGAGGAAGUGCGCCCGAAACUGCCGAGCUUGAGUACCGGAGAGGGUGGCGGAAUUCCCCAAGUAGAGGUGAAAUUCGUAGAUAUGGGGAGGAACACCGGUGGCGAAGGCGGCCACCUGGACGGAUACUGACGCUGAGACGCGAAAGCGUGGGGGAGAAC